GGGGCCAUAGCUCAGGGGUAGAGCGGCUGCUUUGCAUGCAGUGUGCCCGGGUUCGAUUCCCGGUGGCUCCA
rfam:Nosema ceranae strain PA08 1199 NODE_60, whole genome shotgun sequence.